rnacentral:lncRNA from 1 species
UUCAGAAGCUCCAAGGAUGUCAUCGGGACCCAUGCUUUUGAUCUCAGAGCUCUGUUUUCAUGUGUGGUGCCUCAUUUCUUAGACAGUGACGCCGCACCUGCCAGAAAAUUCAGUUUUACAUGUUUUCUCCCAGCCACUGUAAAAGAAAGAAACUGUCCCUUUCUUGCAAGAUCGUGCAAAUGUAUGUCCUAUAAUUGGAACUCAUUGACCAGAAAUGGUUUGGCAUGGGUCUCAUGGCGUCCCUGAAUUUGCAGUGGGUUGGCCAAAUCUGCUUUACCUGAGGAGCUGAUGCUACUGUGACCUACAGCAAAAGAAGUGGGAACAUGUGAAGGAGAGGUAUUUUCCAAGAGAAAGAUUAGGCCUAUUGGAAGCCAGCUUUGGGAAAGGAGGAAGAACACGAUUUACUUCUGCAGUCUUCCUCACUCCACCAAACACCCUUUCUCCUCCCCUA